UCUACGGGGUGGGCCAGUUUCUAAACCUAAGAAAAAAGGGGCCCCGGACCGACCAGUUUCUAAUUAUAAUCAACGGUCGAGAUUGAAUGAUAAUCUAUCAUCCAAUCUGAACCGUUAAUUUGUAACCUAGGUUUCCAAAUCAGUUUUAGUUUCAGUCUCACUCUCUCACGGUCUCACUCCCAUGCCCACCUCUCCACCGUCACUCCCUCGACUCCGAUGACAUCCCAGAGAACGGCCAUCACCGCCGCCACGACCAACACAACGACACCACCACCACCCAUCCAGUCAUCCUCUAACCUCGACGACAUCCGUUACUUCGCCGGCUAUUAUUUGGGGAGAAUAAACACACUCAAUCAGAUUGUUCAUUCGGUCCAAGCAACUUCUCCUUACUGCCUUUCUCUUGGGUGUCAAAGAAUAUGAGCAUUUGAUUGUACUGUAGGCGGAUUUCUGAACGGUUGUUUGAACUUCUGAUUUAGUUUUUUGAUCAAAUGAAGUUGUACAUUCAUGUUUAUGAUUUUCCAGUUUGUGCGAAAAUGAAGCUUUCUUAAUUGGAGCAAAUAUUUGUUCCUUAAUUUGUUGGAGGAUGACUUACCUUUACAAGUUUCAAGAACUCAUGAACCAAAAAAUGAAUGAAUAUAUUUUUUUUGUUUGUUUUUAUUUUAUAGAAGUGAACCUCUAAUUUGGAAGUGAAGAAGCUUAGAGACGCAGAAAACCAAAAUGUUACGAACUAGAUUUGAGUACCGUCGGACAAAAGUUGAGGAAUUGCCAAAUUAGCUUCUCUUGUCAAAGACGAUCUUACUUGCAAGCAUCUUAUUCUCUCAAUGGAAGAGUCCUUGGUGGACUUCCUUCAGAGUGAUACCAUUACCAAGCAUGUAAGACAAACUCCUAAGUGGUAUUAGCAUUGCCAUUUCUUAUGAGAUUAAUUUUAGAGUAAAAUAUUAAAAUUAUAUGGAGCAAGAAUGAUGCAAUUCUUUGUUUGUGCUAUCUCUAAUCAAAUCCAUUGCUUCCCACAACUAGUAUUCUAUACCUACUUGCUCAUCAUUCUGCCUCUGCAUUAAUUUUUUUGUAUUUUAGUUUAUGCAUUAAGUAACAUCAUGCAAAUAAUAUAAAAAGUUGGUUGCAACUGACUUGUUUGUUUUCAAAACUACAAGUCUUUAAUUAUGCUUAAUUCCUUUGUCAUUAGCGUAUGAGAUGCUUUCGUAAUAGGUUAGCUUUAAAAUAUGUACAAAUAUUAUAUCCUAAAUAAGUUGUGAACUAAAAUGAUGCAGUUUUGAAUCUGUGCUCUCCCUAUUUUUUGAAAUAUCUGCAAGUAAAGUGUGGCACUGAAUUAUAAAUAGAACUAUAUAUGUAUGUAUCAUUAUGGUGGUAAAAAGAAGUGUUAAAUAACGUGAUAUAUGUCAUCUAUUUUUCUUUCUUUAUUUGAUUAAUGAAUAUACUUCCAUUAUUUAAUUUUUACAGAUUUCUUUCUACAUUAUGUCUCAAAGUCAAAGUGCCCAUAGUACUAAUGUAGCAUCAUCUACGACCACAUCACCAUGUCCUCCACAACCACCAACACAAGCACAACCCACACAGUCAAAAUCAUCAAUGCCUCCCCCAAAACCCUCUUCCUCCAGACAAAAGAAAAACACCACCUAUUCCAAAGACAAAACAACCAAUUAUAUUAGCUUCACUAGAGAGAACUUCUUCUGAGAGAUCUUGGGUUUGGGAUCAUGUCACUAAGUGUACCAUCUCGGAAAUAAAAGAAGUAGAAAAUGAUGGAAAGAAAGAGAUAGAAGAGGUACAAGUAUUGAAGGCUAAGUGUAACCAUUGUAACGCCCUUUUUGCAUGUGAUACUAGUGGGGGUGGAACUAGUACUUACAUUAAACAUAUCAAUAAACAUUGCAAGUCAUAUAAACCAAUUGAUGAAUUGCAAAACGUUCUAGGCAGUUCUGGACCUUCUGGAGACCUUAAAAACAUGUUUGUUGCUAAAGGGUGGAGCCAAGAAGAGGCAGUGGAAGGUAUUGUUGAGUAUAUUGUGAUCGACGAGGUAGCUUUUAGUUGUAUAAAGAGAGGCGGAUGAUGUGCAAAGUUCAGCCUAAACAUGCAUGUUCCAUCUUAGAGAACUAUUGUGAGGAAUUUAUUCACUAUGUAUGAUAGCAUGAAAGAUUAGUUAAAAAAUGAGAUAUACAAGCAUAGAGUGAGCUUGACAACUGAUACAUGGACAAAUGUGCAAAAUCUGAACUACAUGGUGCUAAAUGUUCAUUUUGUGGAUGAUGAAUGGAAUAUGCACAAAAGGUUUCUAAACUUUUGUGUGAUUUCAAGUCAUGAAGGCAAAGAAAUAAGGAAGCUGAUUGAGCAAUGUUUGGUUGAGUAGGAGAUUGAAAAGGUGAUGUGUAUCUCAGUUGACAAUGCAUCGGCUAACAAGGUGGCAAUUGAGUAUGUUGUUCGUAAAAUACAAAAAUGGUCUAAUAGUCAUAUGAUUAUGAAUGGCAACUUUAUGCAUGUGAGGUGCUUACCUCAUAUUAUCAAAUUGGUAGUGAAAGAUGGGUUGAAAAGAUUAGAUACAAGUGUGGAUGCUCUUUGAAAUGCCGUGCAGUUUGUGAGAUCAAGUCCCCGAAUGUUUAGUUAUUUCAAGAAAUGUGUGGACAAUGCGAAGUUGGAUAGUAGGGGUCUAGUUGUUAUGGAUGUGCCUACUAGGUGGAAUAUCACAUACAUGAUGCUAGAAUCUUGCUUGAAGUUUAAAAAAGCAUUUGAAAGGAUGUCCGAAGAUGAUGAAGCCAAUAUAUACUCCACCUAUUUCAGUGAAAAUGUGCUUAAUGAUGAAGAAGAAGAAGUGGCGAGUAAAAGGAGGUUUGGACCACCUAAGGAGGAAGAUUGGGACGGUGCAGAAGUGUUUGUGGAAAUUUUGUCUUCUAUCUUAUAACCUUGAAAUUUAGUGCAAGUAAGUAUCCCACAUCUAAUACAGCUAUUCAUGAUGUCAUUGCUGUGGAAAACGAGAUUGAAAAGUUUUUUUUGCCUGAAUAUAUGCAAAUUGGAAGAAUUGUAGAGUUUGUGCUACGUGAUAUGGCAUUCAACAUAAGAGCCAAAUAUCGAAAGUAUUUUGAUUCAAUUGAGUCCCUUAAUCAAAUAUUUGUAGUUGCCCUUGUCUUAGACCUAAGGUUCAAAUUGAGGCACUACAUGCACUUCUGUAGAAAGCAAUUACAACUUCCUGAAUAAGAGAUUCAACAGAAAAGUAAUGAAGUGAAGACUUUGUUGAAGGCGAUGUGUGAUGAAUAUGCUUACCAAGCUUUCGGUUCACAAACACAACAAAAUGGUAAAGAAGAUUUAGUUCUUGACACUUCUUGUUCAAGGAUAAAACAAUCAUCUUCUAGUGUGCCAAAAGAAAAUCCAAUGAUAUUUAGUCAAGUUAUGGAUGAUUGGGAGAAGGAACUAGAAGACACCAAUGAUAAGAUAUUGCACUUGCACAUGAGGUGGAUAGGUAUCUCCUUGACACUGUAGAGAAGGCACAACAUGGUUCAUAAUUUGACAUUUUGAAAUGGUGGAAGUUGAAAGGGAGGAGCACAUAUCCCAUACUUGCUUUGAUAGCAAAAGAUGUCUUGCCAAUUCAAGUGUCAACAGUUGCCAGUAAGAGUGCAUUUAGUGGAGGAAAGAGAGUAAUUGACCCUUUUAGAUCACCUCUCCUUCCUCAAACAGUGGAGUCAUUGAUAUGCCUCCAAAACUGGUUAAGAAGUGAACCAAUUAGCAACAUUGAGUAUGAAGCAAGUCCGGCGGAACUUGAAUUUUAUCAAGAGUGUAAAGAAGGUAUCUCACCAAGUGUUCCUGAAAUUGAAGCUCCUUAAACAACUCGAACGAAUAAAGGAAAAUGAAUUGCGAUUCAAUGAGGAUUGUUGUUGGAACUUGGGCGUUGGAUGUGGUUUUGGGUGUUAAUUUGGAAUUUAUUACGGAUGUCAUGUUUAUGUUGUUUUGGAUUAUUUGAUUUUUGGACUUUGGAAUUUGGAUGUCUUGGACUUUCAGAUAUUUUGUAUGUUGAUUUGAUUUUUAGAUGUUGGACAAUGUAAUAUUGUUAUUUUGGAUGUAUUGUUAAUCUAUGAACUUGGAUGUUGGACUUUGUGUUUAAAUUGGAUGUGAAUAAUGGUGAAUUUGUGCAAAA